rnacentral:misc_RNA from 1 species
UACGUAGGUGGCAAGCGUUGUCCGGAUUCAUUGGGCGUAAAGAGCUCGUAGGCGGCUCAGUAAGUCGGGUGUGAAACCUCCAGGCUCAACCUGGAGACGCCACUCGAUACUGCUGUGGCUAGAGUCCAGUAGGGGAGCGUGGAAUUCCUGGUGUAGCGGUGAAAUGCGCAGAUAUCAGGAGGAACACCAGCGGCGAAGGCGGCGCUCUGGGCUGGAACUGACGCUGAGGUGCGAAAGCGUGGGGAGCAAACAGG